UACGUAGGCAGCAAGCGUUGUUCGGAAUUACUGGGCGUAAAGAGUGUGUAGGCGGUGCUCUAAGUCUGUCGUGAAAUCUCCCGGCUUAACUGGGAGGGUGCGGCGGAAACUGGAAUGCUAGAGGGUGGGAGAGGAAAGCGGAAUUCCUGGUGUAGCGGUGAAAUGCGUAGAUAUCGGGAGGAACACCUGUGGCGAAAGCGGCGCACUGGACCACAACUGACGCUGAGGCGCGAAAGCUAGGGGAGCAAACAGG
rnacentral:rRNA from 1 species